GAUAGAUGUAUUUAGGAGAAUUUUUGGAGAGUAAAAGACAAGUAAACAUAAGACACCAUGAAGCCAACACUUAAAGGCUCUCCCAAACUAAUAACAUAGAAGUCACCAUUUUAAUAUUUUUUUCAAAGAACAUUUGACAUUCAUCAUUGAACUCUGUUAAAACAUUUCCAUAACAAAGAAAAUCAUGUUUCACUUUAGCCACACGAUGCCUUCCAUGGUAGAUUAUUCUGCUGGUCAUACAAGAUAACUAUAAGGUGUUGCUCGAUGCUAUUUCAGUUGGUGACGCUACCACUACUGGCGGCGACGAUAACAUCAAUAGCGACGUGGAUUAAUGACGGCAGUGGUGAAAUCAACAUUCCGGUUGAUAUCUCAAGGAUGUCGCCUAAGUCCUGAAAUCCAGAUCCUAUACGUUCUCAAAUUCGCCGUCGUAUCUCAUUAUCAUCGAUUUCCGGUUUAGUGAACAAAUGAUUCAAACAUUUUCGAGGACCGUUCUCUCAAUACUUCCUCUGUAUCAUUUUCCUGGUCCCAGUUGGAAUAGAUCUGGAGAAGAGCGGACCUCAUCGACGUUGGUUUUACGAUCUCAUGAAGAGGUUUUUAGCGAAGGUUUCAUCAUCGCCAGAGUCGAUACAACUUCUGACUAUCAGCAACAACUUCCCUCUAUGAUUAGUGUCCGCAAACCGUUACAAAAGCUCUGUAGUCAGUGAUAUUAAGGUGACCUUUUUUCCUAUUCUUUUUGUUUUGAUCUAUUGGAAAUAUCCCUGGUUUGUUGAUAGUUCAGAUAAUUAAUUUGUCAUUGAUUAAUUCUGGAUGAUGUUUUUCUGUAAAACCUGUAACAUGAUUGGUGAGGAGAGGUGGCGGCUUCCACCGGAAUCCGUUCUCGCUUAAGAUAUUCUCGUCAUUGCCGUCGUAACCAGAACGUCAGGAUAUUGAAGGAGGCGGAAGCAAAGUAUUCAAAUGUGGGAAUGUAUCUAUUUUGUGACAGUUCUGAUCGGAAGCCGAUCUGCAAUGCGGUACCAGUAUGAAACCAACAUCCGAUAUGAUACCAGGACGAAGCUAAUCUCCAAUGCGUGCAGCUGAUUCUCAAGAAAACCAAGCUAUUGGUCUCUAAUGUUUGGAAAAUACAAUUAUGAGACAAAACCGCGGCUAAGAUACAUUUACGGAUGGAGAUAUGCGGUGUGACACUAGGUACACCAAAAUGAGAAGGUAAACAUUUGAUGUCAUGGUAAGAGAAAAACAAUUAUGGUGAUUACUGACAAUGAGAUUAGUGAUGACCAGAAAGAGAUUAGUGCUCCUAAACCUCUAUGGAACCGGCCUGGUGUUGAUGGGAAAUGUGUUGAUGUUCAUCUUAUGCUGCAAGUGUAUCGGAGUCGACAUUGCAACAUGAUGAUGUCGGACAAUAGUGGUUACGACUUCCGGUAUAUACAUGUACUCAGUGUAGGCAUUUGUAGUUAGAUGGUAUUACUUGGAUCACAUACAUACUUUGUACUGCAUUGAAGAUAUAACUAAUAUAUGAUGAAGAAUCUACAUGCCUGAGAUGGAAAGCUGUUGGAUGAUGUUUUUGUUUUGGAUUGCCUGAUAAUUCAUGGGUGGUAAUAUAGUAACAAUAUUAGGGAUAUAUCAGUAAUUGAUUUUGUGUCUAAUUUGAAUAAUUGCGGAUCUUUAUGUUCA